rnacentral:lncRNA from 1 species
CCCCCCUCCAACUUCACCCCUAACUCAAAUCCAAAACCACACCAUCAUCGCCGUCGGAAAUUUACAACGUUUUUCAAUUUUUUUUGGAGAAAACUAGCUGAACUGUAAUCCAUUACAUUUAUACCAAGAAAUCUUGGAAAAAUGUGGAAUCUUGCAAAGACCCAUUAUGGUUUCUUGAGUUAUAGUGAGAUUUCUUGAUUUUUCUUGUAGGUUUGCGCAUGGUGAUGAUAGAAGGGCUUCUAGGUAAGUUUAUUUUGUUUUGAAAGUACAAUUUGAGAGGUGAAUUUCCAUUUUUUAUUCUAUAUGUAUGUGUAUGUACUUUCUUGGUUUUGAAGAUGGUGGCUGCUGUUUCUAAAAACCCCAAAAUCAUAUCUUCAAAAAGACAUCCAUUAUUGUCUUCCGAAAAAGAUGAUUGUAAUGGGGUUUCAAACAAUCUCAGGAGGCCCAAAUCUAGAAUUUUUUCUUCAAGAUACAUGUCCCCUUCAAGUUCUAUUUCCACUUCGUAAUCCUCUUCAGUUUCCUCUUCUUCAAGAAGGUAUCCCUCUCCUAUAGUUUCAAGAAACUUGACCUCGGCAUCAAAGAUUUUGGAUUUGAGCAGUGUGAGGAAGGGUACUCCAAAGAGGAAGAAGACGGCGGUGGCACUCUAUUGACAAGAAAGGGUGACAGGGGAGGAGUUCUCGGCGACAACGAUGGUGGGUG